GGAUUGCACACGUUCGAGGCUCCAGACUGAGGGAUGAAGCUGUGGAUGAUUCUCGCGGUGUCCGCCGUUGCCCUGUGUGCCAGUCAAGCCGCGCCCGUGCAGACCAAUGAUGCUCGGGUCUUCCUGAACAGCUACGGAUCUCAAUAUUACGAUCCUCGGUCACUCAUAGAAAAAUGGUUCAAGGGAGACUUCGAGCUCCGGGAGAGCCUGAGGGAUCUUUCCGAAGUGUUGACGGGACGGAAAUCAAUGGUUGAGGUGAUCGCCGGAAUAAAGCAGGUCUUCGGUUCGCUAUCUGACGUCAGCCGAGGUCUCAUCCUUCUAUUGAGGAAUGUUGGACUAGACGCCUUCAAUGUCAUCAUCAACAAAAUCCUCGGGAGCCAUUACGAUUCGAGGAGCAGCGCACCACUUUACAGGUUACCCGUAGAGGAUCACAAGAACAUCAUAAGAACAUAGUGUGUAUUCUUCCCGGAAAGAAUAAAUUUCAGCACAUGGGUAGAAGCUUGAUAUA